AUGUUGCUCAUUUUGCAUAGGAUUUUCAUUUUGUGUGCUUUCGCAAUGCGUUGUUUGGUUUGAGACUUCAGAGGACGGUUCCGGUUCGUAAACAUUUCCUAAGCGCUUAGCUUCAAUUAUUAAUUGCCGUUUGUCCUCGUUUACGAGACGCACUGAGGUUACUAAGCUGGCCUUCUCCUCUUCAAGUAUUUUAAUUUUUGUAUUUAAAUCAGAGGUAAUAUAGACUAAGUUGUUCAUGCGUUCAAGGUAUUCGGCGUUUU